rnacentral:rRNA from 1 species
UACGUAGGGUGCGAGCGUUAAUCGGAAUUACUGGGCGUAAAGCGUGCGCAGGCGGUUUUGUAAGCCAGAUGUGAAAUCCCCGGGCUUAACCUGGGAAUGGCAUUUGGGACUGCAAGGCUCGAGUGCGGCAGAGGAGACUGGAAUUCCUGGUGUAGCAGUGAAAUGCGUAGAUAUCAGGAGGAACACCGAUGGCGAAGGCAGGUCUCUGGGCUGACACUGACGCUCAUACACGAAAGCGUGGGGAGCAAGCAGG